rnacentral:rRNA from 1 species
GACGAACGCUGGCGGCGUGCUUAAUACAUGCAAGUCGAACGAGUGGCGAACGGGUGAGUAACACGAGGGUGAUCUGCCUUGCACUUCGGGAUAAGAUUGGGAAACUGGGUCUAAUACCUGAUAGUGCAAGAUGUGCUGGCGGCUUAUCAGCUUGUUGGUGGGGUACUGGCUACCAAGGCGCGAAGGGUAGCCGGCCUGCGAGGGUGUACGGCCACAUUGGGACUGCGAUACGGCCCAGACUCCUACGGGAGGCAGCAGUGGGGAAUAUUGCACAAUGGUCGGAAGCCUGAUGCAGCGACGCCGCGUGGGGGAUGAAGGCCUUCGGGUUGUAAACUCCUUUCGACAGGGACGCGGUACCUGGAUAAGAAGCACCGGCUAACUACGUGCCAGCAGCCGCGGUAAUUC